UUUGCUGAAACAUGUUUAUGAACUGACCAAGAUGUAAUUGGAUGGCAUGAAAGAAGCUAAAAUUUAUUUAAUUUCUUGCUAUCUGGUUUGUGGCAUAUGGUGCCUUAAAUUGAGUUUAGAAGAAACUUUUCAGAUGGAAUUUUGUUCUGUUGCCCAGGUUGGAGUGUAGUGGCGUGAUCUCAGCUCACUGCAACCUUUGCCUCCUGGAUUCAAGUGAUUUUCCUGCCUCAGCCUCCCAAGUAGCUGGGAUCACAGGCACCUGCCACCAUGCCUGGCUAAUUUUUAUAUUUUUAGUAGAGAUGAGGUUUUACCAUAUUGGCCAGGCUGCUCUCAAACUCCUGACCUCAACUGAUCUGCCCACCUCAGCCUCACAAAGUGUUGGGAUUACAGGUUUGAGCCACUGCGCCUGCCGAGGGUGUCAUAUUUAAUUCUACUUCCUGUGGUCUCCUACAAUACCAAUCAUGCAUGGAGCCCAUGGUUUUGCGGCACCUAGUUUUACUCAAACAAAGGCCCUGGACUUUUAUAGUUUACACUGACAUAUUCUAGUUUGCCUCUGAAAUGUACUCUGAGGAUGCUGACUUCCAGAUUGUCAUUCUUGGCUUCCAGAUAGUUAUUUUUGGGUGAAGGGAAUUUCAAGUCUUUUGAGUAUAGUAGCCACACCACUUUGCUUCAUUUUGGUUUGGUUACAAAAUUUAUUUUAGCUUAGUUUUCUUAGAUUAAGUGGGCAAAGACAAAGCAGAAGAUUUUGGGAGGCUAAGGUGGGUAGAUCAUGAGGUCAGGAGUUUGAGACUGAUGUGGCCAAUGUGGUGAAAUUCUGUCUUUCCUAAAAAUACAAAAGUUAGCUAAGCAUGGUGGUGCAUACUUGUAAUCCCCACCACUUGGGAGGCUGAGGCAGGUGAAUUGCUUGAACCCAGGAGCCUCUUGAGAAGUUGGGACUACAGCACAUGCCACCAUACUCAGCUAAUUUUUUUUAUUUUUAGUGGAGACAAGGUUUCUCUAUGUCACCCAGGCUGGUUUCAAACUCCUGGACCUAAGUGCUUCACCUGCCGUGGCCUUUCAAACUGCUGCAAUUACAGGUGUGAACCACCAUGCCUGGUUUUUUUUUUUUUUCUCAUUUUUCUCUCUUCCCUUCCUUCUUUGGUAGAUGGAAAUGUGUCAUGUACCAGCUCUUCAUCCAAUGACUGCUCCUCAGUUCCAAAUUCACCCUUCAUUGCCUGCUCUGCAAACAUAGAGGGUUAUUAUUGAAAAUCAAACACAAACUUAAAUGUGUGAAUUGCUGAAUUAAAAUGACAGUUGAAUUCACUGCAUCACCAAGGUUCUCAUGAGAACAUGGGGGCACUAACAGGUGAAGAAUGGGAUUCUCUUACUUUUUCAGACAGUCUCCCUCUGUUGCCCAGGCUAGAGCACAGUGGUGUGAUCUUGGCUCACUGCAGUCUCAACCUCCCAGGCUUAAGCUACCUUCCUGCCUCAGCCUCUGGGAUAGCUGAGGUAUGACCACAGGUAUGAGCCACCACACCCAAGUAAUAUUUUGUGUUUUGUAGAGAUGUGGUUUCACCACAUUGCCCAGACUGGUCUUAAACUCCUGGGCUCAAGACAUCAACCCACCUUAGACUUCUAAAGUUUUGAGAUUAUAGGCAGCAGACACCAUGCCCGGCCCUGUUUUCUUUGGUACUGGUUUAUUGUGAAGGCCUCCAAUUGUCUUUCUGACUUCUAGGCUUGCUCACUUCAGCCUGUUCACUGAAGCCAGAAGAAUUUUUCUAAAAGGCAAAUUUGGGUCAGAAUGGUUCUUGAUUAAAACCUGCUGGUGACUGCCCAUUGCCUUUAAGAUAAAAUCCAAACUAAUUUGGCCACAGGGCCUGGUAAGAGCUGGCCUCGGCUCCAGUUUUAUCCUGCACCAUUCUCCUCAUAUCCCUACCCUCCAGCCACAUGGAAUGUCAGUUUCCUUGGGGGACUUUACUGGUGUCCUUCAGGAAACCUUCCCCUACCCUCAUCAUUACUCUUUGACUCUCAUAUUUGCUCAUCUUUAGCCUCAGGCAAGGUGUCUCACCCCAUUCUCUAUGAUGCGACAAGAAGCCCCUUGGGAGCAUUUUAGUCCCACUCUGUACUUCUGUCAUUGUGAUCCUCACAGUCUGGUAAGUGUUUGCAUAUGAUUGCUAUAUUAGUCUGUUUUGCAUUGUUAUAAGCAUAUAUGUGAGACUCAGUACUUUAUAAAUAAAAAAGGUUGUCCAGGCACAGCAGCUCAUGCCUGUAAUCCCAGCACUUUGGGAAGCCAAGGCAGGUGGAUCACAAGGUCAAGGGAUUGAGACCAUCCUGGCCAACAUGGUGAAACCCCAUCUCUACUAAAAUAUAAAAAUUAAGCUGAGCUUCCUGGUGCAUGCCUGUAAUCCCAGCUACUCAGGAGGCUAAG
rnacentral:lncRNA from 1 species